GACGAACGCUGGCGGCGUGCUUAACACAUGCAAGUCGAACGGAAAGGCCCUGCUUUUGUGGGGUGCUCGAGUGGCGAACGGGUGAGUAACACGUGAGUAACCAGCCCUUGACUUUGGGAUAACUUCAGGAAACUGGGGCUAAUACCGGAUAGGAGCUCCUGCUGCAUGGUGGGGGUUGGAAAGUUUCGGCGGUUGGGGAUGGACUCGCGGCUUAUCAGCUUGUUGGUGGGGUAGUGGCUUACCAAGGCUUUGACGGGUAGCCGGCCUGAGAGGGUGACCGGCCACAUUGGGACUGAGAUACGGCCCAGACUCCUACGGGGGGCAGCAGUGGGGAAUAUUGCACAAUGGGCGGAAGCCUGAUGCAGCAACGCCGCGUGCGGGAUGACGGCCUUCGGGUUGUAAACCGCUUUCGCCUGUGACGAAGCGUGAGUGACGGUAAUGGGUAAAGAAGCACCGGCUAACUACGUG
rnacentral:rRNA from 1 species